GCAUGGUUCUGAAAAAAAACCGUGAGUUCCCAUACACACAAAGAGAUCGUACCCUUGCAUGGUGCUACCGCAAGCUUUCCACCUUAGUUUUCUGUCACCAUGAAUAGCUUGAAAUCCCAGUUUCCCAAUUUAGCUAUAUUAGUUUCCUGUUCAGUUAAUCAGUUCUGCACUCGUAUUCACGAUCUUCUUGGACUUUGCUUAUUUGAUUUGAAUGUAUUUACACGUCGCCACCCUGCGUAAACUAUAUGACAACAACAAAAGCAGUUUUUGGACAAAAGUCGACAACUGAGUUGGUGAGUCGAAACUUUCAUCAUGUUCCAGGGCCUUCAAAUAUGACAGAUGGUUUGGGAGCAGGAGCCAUAGCGGGUAUAGUUCUUGGUGCAUUAACAGCAACUGGAGUCGUCUCCAUUUUAGGUUUUGUGUACUAUAUAAAGAAAAUAAAGCCUUUGCAUUCUCCAAAAUUGAGCACAGAGGAUACGGGAAGUAAACAUAAAAAAUCAUUUGAUGGCAUCAAAGACAAAAGCGAGGCAGGAGGCUCUCCUGAAUUAGAUGAAGUAGAAAUGCAAGACCAACGAAAAGAAUCACUUGACGGCAGGAACAGUGAGGACUGUGUGUCGGGGCAUUCCUCUGACUUGCCUGAAAUAGAGAUAGAAUUAGAAGGCCAAGAAAAGGAAUCUUCUGAAAGCAGCAGUGAGGAAAGCAAGUCGGAGCAAUCUUAUGACUUCGAUGCAAUAGACAUGGAAGGCCACGGAAAAGAAUCAUCUGAAAGCGGCAGUGAGGAAAAUCAGAUGGGUUUUUCUGGAUCGAAUGGUACAGACACGCAAGACCACCUUAACAAAUCUUUUCAAGGCAGCAGUGAGGAAAGUGAGGUAUUCAUCUAACUGUGAUCAAGAAAACAAAAACCGCCCACCAGUCUUCAUGUUCAUUCGCUGAUUUACUUUAAGAUUGGCCUCUCUAAUACGUCAGUAUCUGACACAACCGUGACCUAAAUUCCAGCGGGAGCUCUCUGUAUCUCUGUAACAGGAACGCAGCCCAACAUCAUGGAGUGUACACUUAUACUGGAAUAAAAAGCAACAUAAGCUCAAAGA
rnacentral:misc_RNA from 1 species